rnacentral:tRNA from 1 species
GGGUGGUAGCUCAGCGGUAGAGCGCUCACCUGGCAUGUGCGAGGCCCUGGGUUUGAUCCUAAGCACUACUUA